CAUGGAGGCAUCUCCUCGGCUGAGGCCCCUUCCUCUCUGAUGAUGCAAGUUUGUGUCAAGUUGACACGCAAAACCAGCCAGCACGGUCCCCUUCACGGUUUACCUGCCUCUACCCUGAAGUCCGACACCUACUUCUGCUUCCACCCAGAAUCCUUCACCUACUGGUUUGCACCAGCAGCCAAGCCCCCUGCUCUGCUCUCCCGUCUGCUCCAGCCCCAAUGCCUCCCCAGCCAUGACAGACUGAAUCUCUGAACAAACCAAGCCAAUGCCUGCGAGACUGUUUGCAAGGCUUUCCAAGAUAGACCCUGUUCUGACUGAUUUUUUAUGUCCACUUGAUACAACCUGGAGUCAUCUGAGAGGAAGGAACCC